CAUGUAGGCGGAUUAAUAAGUUUGAAGUGAAAUCCUAUAGCUUAACUAUAGAACUGCUUUGAAAACUGUUAAUCUAGAAUGUGGGAGAGGUAGAUGGAACUUCUGGUGUAGGGGUAAAAUCCGUAGAGAUCAGAAGGAAUACCGAUUGCGAAGGCGAUCUACUGGAACAUUAUUGACGCUGAGAUGCGAAAGCGUAGGGAGCAAACA
rnacentral:rRNA from 1 species